UCUCUCUCUCUCUCUUUCAUCUCAUCUCUCUCUCUCCCUCUCUCUUCUCUACUCUUUCCUAUCUCUCUUACUCUCUAGCGCUCUCUCUUUCUCCCCCUCCCUCUCUUCCCCUCUCUCUUUUCUGUUAGUGCUUUUUUCCCCCUAGAACCUAAGACCAACCUUUGCUGGCCUGCUCCAUAACAUCAACCCAGGUGAUAACUAAUCCAUCCAAUUUGAGCAUUUCCACGAUGCUAUUUAAUGUUCUGUUUUCAGUCAUUUUUUGAGAGAGAGAUAGAGAGGGAGAGAGAGAAGGAGGGGAGACAAAGGCAAAGAGAGAGAGACAGAGAAAGAAUCUUAAGCAGGCUCAAUACCCAGUGCAGAGCCCCGACUUGGGGCUCGAUCCCACAACCAUGAGAUCAUGACCUGAGCCAAAAUCAAGAACUGGGCCCUCAACCAACUAAGCUACCCAGGCGUCCCUUUGUCUUCAGUGUGGAUAGGCAUUAGCCCAUUCUGUCUGGACCUAACCAUAAAUGUCAUGAUUUAAGCAGCUGAAAGUAAGGCCGUGGAUAUAAGAACAGCAAAUAAAUACAAGAAUCCAGGAAGACAGCUGGUGUAGCAACAAUCAGUCGGGGAGCAACCUUAUCUUAAAAGUCCUGGAUCCUUUCAAAGCCUUCCAAAGCCACAUGGAUCUCCUUAAUACUAAGAAUUCAGCCGAUCAAAGGGAUGCCUCACCAACAGGAUGAAAUAACACACACCAAACUGUUGACAAUUGCCCCAGCUCCAUAUAUAAUUGGACCUCGAGAGGGGCUGGACCAAGCAAAAGAC